rnacentral:lncRNA from 1 species
AAAAAAGAAAGAAUAAAUUAGGGCAUACUUUAUAGAGUGAGUUGUUAGAUGUUAACUAUUUAGAAAAUUAGUUCUGCCAGCAGCAAAUGGUAAUGGAAUUGGGGUUGAUGAUAUAAUUAAAAAGUGGGAAAUAAUGCAGGUGAAGUUUAAGCUGCUGUUUGAGAUAUUGCUAUAUUCUGUUUUCUUAAUGCACAUAGAAAGAUAGUUAACCUAAAAGUGGUUUGAUACUUAAUAUUAACAGCAUUUUGCACUGUGUGUAAUUUUGUAAAGCAUUUCUCUAAAUUCUGGAGCUAGGAGUAAAGUAAAUUUGCAUUAUGUAUAUUUUGUAAAGCAUUUCUAAGUUCUAGGACUGGGAGAAAAACUGACAGGUUUGUGGGGGAAAUGUAGAAAGGUAAAGGAAUGUAGGAAGAAAUGAAAUUUUUUUAAAAUCAAGAGUAUUAUGUGCAGCUUUGUUGUUUGUAAAAAUAUCUGGUUUGAAAUCUUUAGAAAUCUGGAAAGUGAAUUUUAUGGAGAAAUAAAUGGAACUAUUUCGUAGUGUUUACGUCAAACUAAAAACCCUGCUGUAUAAGAGCAGACACUGUAGUUUUUUUUCCUGCCUCUAUUUUAAAGAGCCAUGCAAUUUGCUCUGUCUUAUAAAUAUUUUGUAUUAAUACCAGGCUUGUUUUCUCUCCAUGCAUUCCUCUAAGCAAGUGGAAAAUUGGUUAAACAUUUGGGUUUCAAAGAAUUUGACUCUUGGAAAGUAAGUAGAAUUUACGUGGGAGUUAAAUCAUGUAUAAGUAAGUAAAGGAUGCUUUCUUUAAUUCACAUAUGUCAGAAAUAUAUUUAAGACACAAAAUUUUAUAUAUUUAUUUAUUUAUUUAUUUGUCUUUUUGUCUUUUUAGGACCACCCCCCCCGCAGCAUGUGGAGGUUCCCAGGCUGGGGUCUAAUUGGAGCUAUAGCCGCCGGCCUACACCACAGCCAUGCCAGAUCUGAGCCGAGUCUGUGACCUACACCACAGCUAACGGCAACACCCACUGAGCGAGGCCAGGGAUCAAACCUGUGUCCUCAUGGAUGCUAGUCAGACUCAUUUCCACCGAGCCACUACUGGAACUCCUGUGUUUUGGAAAUUUUAUAUAUGGUUACCAGAUCUUUUUAAUAACAUGCAUUGUUUUGUUUUGUUUUCUUUUUUUUUUUUUUUUUUUUUGGUCUUUUGAGGGCCAAACCCGUGGCAUAUGGAGAUUCCCAGGCUGUCGGUCUAAUCAGAGCUAUAGCCACCAGCCUGUGCCAGAGCCACAGCAACACCAGAUCUGAGCCACAUCUGCGACCUCCACCACAGCUCACAGCAAUGCCAGAUCCUUAACCCACUGAAUGAGGCCAGGGAUUGAACCCGCAACCUCAUGGUUCCUAGUCAGAUUCGUUUCUGCUGUGCCACGGUGGGAACUCCACAUAAAUUUUUUUCUAAUUUUAAAAUGGUCAUGUUGGAAGAUUUAGAAACAUCUAAUUUUAGAUAAAUUUCUAGAAAUGGAAUUGUUAAUGAUUUAAAAGAUAAUGGACUUCUGGAGUUCUUCUUUUGGCUCAGCAGGUUAUGAGCCCAACUAGUAUCCAUGAGAAUUCGGGUUUGAUCCUCGGCCUUGCUCAAUGGGCUAAGGAUCCAGUAUUGCCGCAAGCUGCAGCGUGGAUUGCAAAUGCGGCUCAGAUCUGGCAUUGCUAUGGCUGUGGCAUAGGCCAGAAGGUGCGGCUUUGAUUCACUCCCUGGCCUGGGUACUUCAUUUGCCACAGGUGCAGCCCUAAAAAGCCCUAAAAAGCAAAGAAAUAAAAGAUACGGGCUUUUUAAGUUCUCGAUAUAUAGCUUUCAAGUUCCCUUUGAAGUUAAAACUUGCCCUUUAGUUCAUCAGCAGAGUGCUUUCUUUGGUUUAUGCUAAUCUAAUCUACACGAAUGCCAAUUAGAUAACUGAAGAGCUGUAGUUUAUUGUCUUCAUUUGUACCUUUUUUUUGGGGGGGUACCUUCUGACUGAACUUUUUUUCCUGUGUUUAUUAUGUUUAUUAAUUAGUUUGGGGUUCUCUUUGUUACUCUCCUCUGUACAGUUUUCAGUUUUAUUGUGUAGAGAUACUAUAUUUACAUGUUAUUGAUUAAUUCGUACACAGUGUUCUGCUUUCAGUUAGAGUGGCAUGGUGGUGCUCGGCUUGCAGCUCCUUUCCCCUCCCACACCUCAUCUCCGUCUCCCUGUCUUCCCAUCACAUUAAAUUUCCGAUAUUAAGAAAGUAUUAGCUCAGACAAACCUUUGGUCAAGUGUACAUAAAGGCAAGAAAUGAAAGGUUGGGUAAGAAGGAUUGUAAAUUAUCCCUUACCUAAUUGUUCUAGCACUGAGUGUUUUAUGGAGCUGUCUUCAGACUGUAAUUAAAUGGACAAAGCAUCUUUGCAGAGAUGAUGAUCUUAAAAGAUUUUUCCCCUAAUUUUCUUUUGUUAAAUUUAACGUGUACUUCUGAAAAGUUGCCAGUAAACAUUUAAGUUACGUUGGCUUUAACUCUCCAUUUGGUGAGAGCCAGUGUAUCAGAUUUGUUGAGUUGAAUGAAAGAGGAAAGAAGACUAAAAUUAAACACUUUGUUGUCUCUGUCUCUCAUAAGGGAGAUUUGAGUAUCAGCCUGUCACUCUGAGUCUAUGUAUUUCCUUUUAGAAGCUGUUCAUAUUUUUUCUUUAAAUUAAUCUUUGUAAUUAUUAAUAACAGGAGCUUAAGAUACUGUGUAAUAACGUAUAUGGGGAAAGAAUCUGAAAAAGAACAGAUAUGUAUCUGUGUAACUGAUUUACUUUGCUGUACAUCUGAAACUAACACAACUAACUAUACUCCAAAAAAAUUUAUUUUAAAAAAAUAACAGCUUAUGGCAAAAUUUGUCAUCAUGGAGGUCAUAAUAGCAAAAGAAGGAAUUCUGAAUGUAAUCAAUAUAGUUCAUUAUAAACUAAGUUUAAGGAAAGUAAAUACGUAAAAGUUUAACGGGAAAAAGUAGGGGAACAAAUUCACUAACAGUUUACAAAAGACCAAAUUAAACUUUUUUCUUUUGUAAAUUAAGCUGUCUUUAGUGAGAACUCUAAACCACAUAUUUCAGAAGGAUAUUUGUCAUGAUUUCAUCAUGAAUAAAAUAGAAAAAUAUAGACUGGGUGAGAGAGUAUUAAGUGAGUUUUAGCUGAUCAGUAGUGCCCAGGGAAUAUCAGAUAAGGUCAUCCUACAAGUUCUUGUUCUUUUUAAUUUUAUUUUAAAAAACCAUUGUGUUGAAAGAAGCUGUAUAAAGCAGGUUCAUGAAAUUUACAAGCUGAUUGGAAUAGCUGCUACCUCAAAUAGCAGAAAAUGAUUUCCAUACUACCUAAAUAGAUUAAAAGGACUUUCAGAAACCAACAUAAAGUCAACAUGAAAGUCUAGUUUUGAUGAAGAUUCCAGUGAAAACAAUCUGAGAGCUUCAGAUUGAUUAUAAAUACAAAUUAAUGAAUUAAGCACGGUUUUUUUAAAAAUAAUAAAUGAUCUCUCCUCUGCUCCAGGUUCUGUGUUCUGAGUCCUAGAACCUGUGAAUGUUUUCUUGCAUGGCAAAAGAGACUUUGCAGAUGAGAUUAGAGGUCUUGAGUUGGGUUAAUUAUCCUGCAACAACCAAAUGAAUGCAGUGUAACCCCAAGGGUCCUUGCAUGAGAAAGGCAGGAGAGUCUGAGAAAGUGAUGUGACAGUGGAAGCGGAGAUUAGGAAGAAGAAGAUGCUGCCAGCUUUGAAGAUGGAAGAAGCAGCUGUGAGCCAAAGGAAUUUAGGCACCCUGUAGAAGCUGGAAAAGACAAGAAAUAAAUUUUGACCUAGAACACCCAUAAUGAAGGCAGCCCUGCCAACAACUUGAUUUCAGACUAGUGAAAUUCUGACCUCCAGAAGUGUUUUAAGUUACUGAGUUUUUGAUAAUAUGUUACUUCACGAAUAAGAAACUAAUGCAAAAGACAGUCCACUGGAUUCCAUAGGAAUGUAUCUGGACCCUGUUUAUUUGGGGAUAUCUUACUUGAAAUAGCCAGGAAAGUUGUUAGGUCUAGUCAUUUACCUAAUAGUAGAAGAUAAGAGAGAGGGAGACAUGCUUUAAAUAUCUUAUCAAAAGAAAGAUCGCUAUUGUUCUGUGCUCCAGAGGCAGAACUAGAACAGGACGGGGAAGGUUAUCAGAAGGGAGAUUUGGGGUCAGUACAAAGAAAAGUGCCCUACCAUAGGAGCUGUUUAGUUAAGAGUUACUAAGCCUGACUAUUAUGGAGUCUUCCAGAUAUGUUGUGAAAACAGUUCUGACCUUGUUAUCAGUACUGGAUUAGGUACUAAGAUACUGUGCAGCUUUAAAAUUCUUUGAUAUGCUACAUUUUCAAUAUAGAAAAGAUUUUUCUGAAUGCAGCACUUGAAUAGCAUAUGUAAUGCAAAAAAGAUACUGUGGUAAGCCAUAAUAAAAAAUUAAACUCCAGGUGUGCGUGCCAAGAUUCCCAGAGCAUUUACUGAGCCCUUUAUAUGUCAGGUACCAGGCUAAUAAGAGAUUUAUGUAUGUUAUCUCAUUUAAUCCUAACAACCGUUUGAGGUGAAGUGAGUACUAUUAAUCCUUUUUCAGAUUUCAGAAAUCCUUGAAAUUUAGAAAAGGUUAACUAGUCAAAGUUUACUCUGUUGGUAAAUGGCAGAGUGUCAUUACUUUGACUAACCCCCAAACACUGAAUUCUGCAGGUGUCAUGGGCCAAAUAUGCUCGUUCCUUAUUUUCCUUUGAAACUAUUCUUUGUUGAUAUAAGGGAUCAUGAUGAGUAAUUCUUCAGAAUUUUUAGAAUACUUUGUAUAACAGGCACCCAGUAGGGCAUUGUUCAUAUUUAGACUUUCUAAUUGUCAUUCAGCUAGUGACAGCAAAAAGACAAACUGUUGUCAACUGUUGCUGGCAAGUAUGUUUUUCUUACCGAGGCUUUCUAAGGAGGUUUUGUACCUUUUGGGGCCUAUUGCUGCUAUUAUUCUAUAGAAGAGAAUUGGAUGGUUUCUCUGCUGCUUUUAUAUGUUUGUUUUCAUUGACAGAUUACAUUGUGAAUACAGAGCUGUGAUAGCAGGGAGAGUGCUGCACCUAUUGAUGUUUAUCGAGCUGUUGCAGAUGAUAUACCUGUCAUUCCAUAUACACAAACUAAUUUGAUCUUGCUAGUAAAUAUCUUUAAUUUCUGGUGUUCUUCCUGGUGUUCAUUUAUGCGGCCCCCUUCUCUGUACCACAUUGAAGUUUCUGGUAUAGGCUAGUUAAUUGUAUGUUCCUGGUUCCCUUCUUACUCAUCCUCAUGGCUUUGAUUCUGUGACCUUUCAUUUUCUAGCCUGGACCUCUCUUUGUUCAAGAUCCGUAUUCCAGUCUCUGCUGAAUCUCUGCCUAGAUAUUCAGUAGGCAUCCCAAAUUAAAUUCAGUAUGUCUCAUCAUUAUCCGUGAAUCAAUACAUUGUACAUAUAGACAGGCACAGAUAUUUUGUCGGUAUUCCCCAUCGUAGUUAAUGGUCUCUGCAUUAUUUAGUCAAUAAGCAGCAUUCUAUAAUGCGAGUAUGCUAUUAAAAACAAAAUAAUGAGCUUGAAAAACAAAAAAUUCUAGUCCAGACCCAUUUGCUGGGCAUCACCCCAAAACAGAUGUAUCGCCUUGGGGUAUCAUCUCAAAAUAGGUGUAACAAUCUGUACUGGUUGUUAAUAUGAUUAAAUGAAAUAAUGCACCAUCAAACUUAAUUCUUCCUUGUACAUAGGCACUCAGUGCUGUUUCCUUCCUCUUCUGAGUUAUACCUUCUUUCAUGGAAUAAAUGCCCUUCUCUCUCUCUCUCUGUAAUGGCUGUGCCUGUGGCAUAUUUAAGUUCCUGGGACAGGAAUCUAAUCAGACAGAGCUGCAGCUGUGUUGCCAGGCCAGUGCCUCUGGAGCCAUCAGAGCCAUUGCAGUCAGGUUCUUAACCCAGUGUGCCACAGUGGGAACUCCUCUGUCUCUUAGAUGGUAACACUUGAAGACUCUCCUGCUGGUCUGUUGCCUAAAUGAUGGUUAUACUACUGUAUGAUAUAGCCUGUAUUUAAAUUUUAAAUAAAUUAUGAUUUAAAUAUAGACUGUGGAGUGUUUCACCAGAAACACUGGUCUGGGAGUUCCCAUUGUGUCUCAGCGGAAAUGAAUCUGACUAGCAUCCAUGAGGACGUGGGGUCGAUCCCUGGCCUCAGUCAGUGGGUGAUGGAUCCAGUGUUGCUAUGGCUGUGGUAUAGGUCAGAAGCUGCAGCUCUGAUUCGACCCUAGCCUGGGAACCUUCCUAUGCCACAGAUGAGGCCCUAACAAGACCAAAAACAAAAAAACAGAUACACUGGUUUGUCUUGUGUGCUCAAUUGGCUGUUUUUUAAUACAGGAAGUAUAUAAACUUUUUUGCCUUCCCUUUCUCUUCUUUAGGAAGGAAAUAGAACAGUGAUAAUAAACAACCGUCUCAAUGACUUUUUUAACUUAAGGAUUAUGAGCUUGGGCAGAAUAUACCCUUUUAUUAUAAAAUGUAUGCUUUAUAUUUCAGGCAGUUGUUGAUAUUUUUAAAAUUUGUAUUGAAGUUGAAAUAUUUCAGAUUGUUUCUUAGUUUCUCAUUGGCUUAUACAAUUUCAAAGAGUAUUGUUUUUCAAUGAGCAUUUUUUCUCAAGGAGAAUUUUUAUUUUGUUGGUAAAUAAAAUAAUCAUGACCGUAUUUGUUUAGAUUAAUCCCUCUUUAAAAACUGAAUUUCUGGAAUUCCCGUCGUGGAGCAGCGGAAAACGAAUCCGACUAGGAACCUUGAGUUUGAGGGUUCGAUCCCUGGCCUCACUCAGUGGGUUAAGGAGCUGGCGCUGCUAGGAGCUGGCGCUGCUAUGAGCUGUGCUGUAGACCAGCAGCUGUAGCUCCAAUUGAACCCCUAGGCCUGGGAACCUCCAUAUGCCGUGGGUGCGGCCCUAAAAAGAAAAAAACAACUAAUUUCUGUGUUAAUAUUUUUGGGUUUCUCCCACUUUCUGUAUCUUAGUAUUAUUUACAGAAAAAUUCUACCUUUCCUCUUCUUAAACAGAGUACGUAUCUGAUUCUUAUAUUGAUUAUAUUUGGCAUUGAAUACUUUUUCUAAAAUUACUGUUACCAUUAUUUAUAGUCCCAUUAUAUCUGUAGUUUUGAAAAGCUGUAAAAAUUCUCUGUUGCCAGAGAAUUUAAGAUAUGUUACCAGGUAGGCUUGUUUAUUCUGGGAAAAGAGGCUUGUGUUCUUUAGGCUAACCAUUUAGUAGUGGUCUAGUAAAGGUGGUCUGUGUCCUAGGGAUUCCAUCAUUGAAAUAAUAAAAUUAGGGAUUUCCUGUCAUGGCUCAGUGAAAACGAAUCUGACUAGAUUAGCAUCCAUGAGGAUCCAGGUUUGAUCCCUGGCCUCGCUCAAUGGGUUAAAGGAUCCAGCAUUGCUGUGAGCUGUAGUGUAGGUCGCAGAUGUGGGUUGGAUCCCAUGUGGCUGUGGCUGUGUUGUAGGCUGGCAGCUACAGCUCUGAUUUGGCCCCUAGGCUGGGAACCUCCAUAUGCCUCGGGUGCAGCCCUAAGAAGGCAAAAAAAAUGUUUUAAAGUAAUGGAUAUAUGAUACAUAAAGUUGGUAAUGCUCAGGAAGCCGUGGAACUUUAUUUCAGAAUGUAUUUUUAGAAGAGUAUGUAUGUACCUAUGAUUAAAAGAAGACAAAAACAAGGAUUUAAGAAACUAGAUAUAAGCUUCUUAAUUUCAGAAAUGUAUCAUUAUAACCCUCUGUGGGCUCUCAUUAUGUCUUGGUUCAAUUUAAACUUUAGGGGGAAGGAGAAUCCAUGUGUGCUCAAGUCUCAUGGGAGACUUACUGUAGUGAGAUUUAUUAAAUAUGAUGUCAUUUUUAUUCCUGACUAAAUCAAGAAAUUGUGAAUUCGGGAGUUCCUGGCAUGGUGCAGCAGAAACAAAUCCGACUGGGAACCAUGAGGUUUCAUGUUCAAUCUCUGGCCUCACUCAGUGCGUUGAGGAGCUGGCGUUGCUGUGGCUGUGGCCGGCGGCUACAGCUCUGAUUAGACCCUUCGCCUGGCAACCUCCAUAUGCCA